GACGAACGCUGGCGGCGUGCUUAACACAUGCAAGUCGAACGGUGAAGCGCCUUCCUUUUUGGUGGGUGUGGAUGAGUGGCGAACGGGUGAGUAACACGUGAGUAACCUGCCCCCUUCUUCUGGAUAACCGCAUGAAAGUGUGGCUAAUACGGGAUAUUCUGGUUCUGUCGCAUGAUGGGUCUGGGAAAGAUAUUGUUUCGGUGGGGGAUGGGCUCGCGGCCUAUCAGCUUGUUGGUGGGGUGAUGGCCUACCAAGGCGGUGACGGGUAGCCGGCCUGAGAGGGUGGACGGUCACACUGGGACUGAGACACGGCCCAGACUCCUACGGGAGGCAGCAGUGGGGAAUAUUGCACAAUGGGCGCAAGCCUGAUGCAGCGACGCCGCGGGAGGGAUGGAGGCCUUCGGGUUGUGAACCUCUUUCGCCAGUGAAGCAGGCCUGCCUCGUUUGUGGGUGGGUUGACGGUAGCUGGAUAAGAAGCGCCGGCUAACUACGUG
rnacentral:rRNA from 1 species